ensembl:lncRNA
GUACAGAUGAACGUGGUACCUGCCAAAACUAUAGUUUGUUAACAAGAAAUAUGUGGAGUGGUUGAAAAAUACGUUUUAAUGACUCCAACCUAAGUGUAUGUAAACUUCGACUUCAACUGUAUGGCCAUUAUACAGUACCACGGCAAAGGGCUGUGUCCAGGCACUCCGCGUAGCAUCAUGGUUUUUGUCAUGUAACAACGUGCCAAACAUGCCCUUCAUGAGCCUGUCUGGGAAAUGAUGUUCAUCAAAUGAGGAUCCCACAGGAAGUCAGGAGAGCCGUGCAUCCAUGAUGGCCUAACCACCACACCAGAGGCCUUUUGUGUUUCUGCACACUUUACAAAAUAGCUCUAAGCCUGUCAUGGACCACAUCAAGGUUCACUGGUCCGUCAACAUUUACGGCGAGAUAAAGACAGAGAGGGGAAAAUUCCAGACUCUGGGGAGAUUUCCUUAAAAAGAAGAAAUCACGCCCAGAACGAGCAGUAUAGAUGGUGGCAUUGUCAUGCUGGAGGCUCAUGUCAGGAUGAGCCUGCAGGAAGGAGGAGGAUGUCUUCCCUGUAACGCACAGCAUUGAGAUUGCCUGCACUGACAACAAGCUCAGUCCGAUGAUGCUGUGACACACUGCCCCAGACCAUGAUGGACCCUCUACCUCCAAAUUGAUCCCACUCCAGAGUAGAGGCCUCGGUGUAACGCUCAUUCCUUCGACGAUAAAUGCAAAUCCGACCAUCACCCCUGGUGAGACAAAACCGCAACUCGUCAGUGAAGAGCACUAUUUGCCAGUCCUGUCUGGUUCAGCCACGGUGGGUUUGUGCGUUAGGCGAUGUUGUUCCCGGUGAUGUCUGGUGAGGACCUGCCUUUACAACAGGCCUACAAGCCCUCAGUCCAGCCUCUCUCAGCCUAUUGCGGACAGUCUGAGCACUGAUGGAGGUAUUAUGUGUUCCUGGCGUAACUCGAGCAGUUGUUAUUGCCAUCCUGUACCUGUCCUACAGGUGUGAUGUUUGGAUGUACCGAUCCUGUGCAGGUGUUGUUACACAUGGUCUGCCACUGCGUGGACAAUCAGCUGUCUUAGGCGUCUCACAGUACGGACAUUGCAAGUUAUUGCCCUGGCCACAUCUGCAGUCUUCAUGCAUCCUUGCAUCAUGCCUAAGGCAUGUUCACGCAGAUGAGCAGGGACCCUGGGCAUCUUUCUUUUGGUGUUUUUCAGAGUCCGUAGAAAGGCCUCUUUAGUGUCCUAAGGUUUCAUAACUGUGACCUUAAUUGCCUACCGUCUGUAAGCUGUUACUGUCUUAAUGACCGUUCCACAGGUACAUGUUCAUUAAUUGUUUAUGGUUCAUUGAACAAGCAUGGGAAACAAUGUUUAAAUUCCUUACAAUGAGGAUCUGUGAAGUUGUUUGGAUUUUUACAAAUUACCUUUGAAAGACAGGG